GUGAAACCAAAGCAUGUCUUUCGCCCCUUGCAGGAUGUCAUAAACCCCGCCCUCUAAUCGAAUGGAACAAGAGCCCAACAAAAAAUCCCCCCGUUCGGUUUUAGAUAGUUUAAUGCUAUAAAAACUGAGUGUAACGUCAUGAUUGACAGCUGUGGCUUCAUUUUUCUACAGUGGACUGUAGUGGAGACCAUCGUCGUCCAUCUGUUUUUGGUCCAAGACUAUGUGACAGGAAGAAGUUUUAGCAUUUUUAUAGCACCGUCAAGUUUAUAGCACUUGACUUAGAUACAACACAAUUAAACACAAUUUUUAUUAUUAAAAAGUUAGGCCUAUAUAAUAAAGAGUAUAUUUCAUGGUUGAGGUUGAAAUUGAAUUUUCAGACCAAUACUGCAUCUUCUCAUUCAUUCACACAUUCAACUGUAACGAGAAGGGUAUUCCUGCACAACCGGAGGCUGCAGUUUCAGAACCGCAGUUCCAGGACCCUAGUUUUUCGUGACAGCGCCACCUACCGUACUGGAUCAACACUAAUUAAAGAUGGACAACGUGGACAGCAAUCAGACGAUGCAUAUAACAAUCCAAAAAGGGAGAUCCCUGCCCCAUAUUUAUAUUAAUGUUUUUCAUAGGCCAUCAUAUAUGCCCUGGCUGCCCUCCAGAAUUUGUCCUUGCAGGAGGCUGAGGAGGUCUUCCUUUCUGGUCCAGAUUAUCAUUUCAGUGAAGUGGAAGAAUUUAAUAGAAAGAUUGACAAACAAUUGAGGAAAGAAGGGAGACCAUUCAAUUGAGUUGAAGCCUACAGCCAUUCUAUCCAUGCAGCAACUGAUGGAAAAAGGGUUCGCUUUGGUGCUGUUGUCGCAAAAAUGACAUAUAUAUAUA